GAUGAACGCUGGCGGCGUGCCUAAUACAUGCAAGUCGAGCGAACGGACGAGAAGCUUGCUUCUCUGAUGUUAGCGGCGGACGGGUGAGUAACACGUGGAUAACCUACCUAUAGGACUGGGAUAACUUCGGGAAACCGGAGCUAAUACCGGAUGAUAUUUUGAACCGCAUGGUUCAAAAGUGAAAGACGGUCUUGCUGUCACUUAUAGAUGGAUCCGCGCUGCAUUAGCUAGUUGGUAAGGUAACGGCUUACCAAGGCAACGAUGCAUAGCCGACCUGAGGGGGUGAUCGGCCACACUGGAACUGAGACACGGUCCAGACUCCUACGGGAGGCAGCAGUAGGGAAUCUUCCGCAAUGGGCGAAAGCCUGACGGAGCAACGCCGCGUGAGUGAUGAAGGUCUUCGGAUCGUAAAACUCUGUUAUUAGGGAAGAACAUAUGUGUAAGUAACUGUGCACAUCUUGACGGUACCUAAUCAGAAAGCCACGGCUAACUACGUG
rnacentral:rRNA from 1 species